rnacentral:misc_RNA from 1 species
AGACGUAAGCCAGAUAUCAGUUGUUCCUUCAGCUCAAUAAAAUUUUCCCUUAUUUCAUCAAUAGAGCUGUGGAGAGUAAAAUUGAAGAGGACAUCAGGUAGGUCCCAAAAGGGGAGGUGCUCGGGCAUCAAAGUGAUUCCACCGGGACACUUCAAAACCUCAAAUGAAGAUGGUUGUCCAAAUAUUGAGGAAGUUAAUGUCAAAUUGGUAUCUCGAAGAUACAGUUCCAAUAAAGCGGACUUCAGCAGACUUAAGUACACUGGAGUACUAGAAGAAUCAACUGGAUCCGGAAGAAAACCAAAUAUUACGUUAGUCUGGUUAGCCAAACCUGCUGCAUGCACAGAUAGGACAGAAACCUUCAUGUUAGGGAUAGCAAUCUCUUCCAAAAUAUCAUACUCCAGUCUUGCAAUGUGGGGAACAAUGUCUGAAACUGGCUUCUCCAAUCUGAAGUAUGCUUGAGUAGUGGCGGCAUGCUUGAUCGCCUCUUUAGCGUCAAACCCAGAUAACUUAGAACGAUGUGGAAGGAUCCAGAAGACAGCAGAGAGAAAAA